GCCCGCCUAGCUCAAUCGGAUAGAGCGUCAGACUCUUAACUGGCUAUAGGCGGUGGUAUCUGAAGGCUGCGAGUUCGACCCUCGCGGUGGGCU